AUUGUAAUAGAUUAUAUUUCUGUUGAAGUGAAUUCAGAUAUCACCUUUCGGUAAAAAUUGUGUAAACUUCUUAGAGAAAUCUAUGUGGAAGUCCCAACUAUGCUGCUCCGGAGGUUAUCUCAGGUAAACUAUAUGCUGAUCCAGAGGUUGAUGUAUGGAGUUGUGGUGUCAUUCUUUAUGCUCUUCUCUGUAACACACUUCCCUUUGAUGAUGAAAACAUCCCUAAUCUGUUUCAUAAAAUAAAGGGUGGGAUAUAUACUCUUCCAAGCCAUUUAUCUGCUCUAGCAAGGGAUUUGAUACCUAGGAUGUUUGUUGUUGACCCUAUGAAGCGAAUGACUCUUCGUGAAAUCUGUGAACAUCCAUGGUUUCAAGCUCGUCUUCUUCGCUAUCUGGUUGUGCCACCACCAGAUACAAUGCAACAAGCUAAGAAGAUAAAUUGUUCUCAAGCUGUUGGCCCAAGUGAUAUUUUGUUGUUUAUAUUACAUAGUUUCUGGCAAAUGUUAGCAUUGAUCUUCAUUAGGGUAAACGACACAUAUUGGUAUUAGAAAACUGAUCAUGGAUAAAAUUUUACAUAUAUGAAAUUUUUGUGUAGGCAGCACAGAGCUCUAACAUCACUUCUUUUCAAUAUUACUUUCAGCACCUAUUCUUUCAUUUUCUGUUCAUGACCAGCAGAAUAGAAAAUUGAGAUCAUUAAGUUACACAUUUAAAUGCUCUUCACUUACACUUAAGUGAUUGAGAUUAUCAAAUCAGAUAUGUUCAAAUCCCUUGCAAUAUGAUUUCUUUUUUACUUCUGUAGUGCUAUGCUGCUAAAUUGUCAUGUGCCUGACUUUAUGGUCCUGGCGCUUUGCUCUUCUUUGCAGAUUGAUGAGGAAAUUCUUCAGGAGGUAGUUAAAAUGGGGUUUGAGAAAAACCACUUAGUUGAAUCACUUCACAAUAGAAGACAAAAUGAGGGCACUGUUGCAUACUACUUUCUUUUGGACAAUAGAUUUCUCACAGCUACAGUACUGGCUAUCUUGGGGUAGAGUAUCAGGAAACCAUGGAAUCUGGUUUAUCUCGAAUGAGUUCAACAGAUACUCCAACGGCAGCAAUCAAACAUCGUAAGCCAGGAUAUAUGGACCAUCAGGUAAUGGGGAUGGGACUGCAUCCAGGUGAAAGGAAAUGAGCACUUGGACUUCAUGUAUUCUAUCUUUCAAUGGGCUCUAUUUAUCAGUGAAGAUCAAGGUUACAUAUUUUAUGAGUGUCAAAAUGUGUUAAUAAGAGAAAUUGUGUUAGCAAUCACAUUGUGAAUAGGUUUAUUGUGACACCAUUCAUCAGUAAUAUUUUUUACAUUGCUUUUGUUAAA